rnacentral:rRNA from 1 species
GGAAUCUUGCGCAAUGGGGGAAACCCUGACGCAGCAACGCCGCGUGAGUGAGGAAGGUCUUCGGAUCGUAAAGCUCUGUCAGUUGGAAAGAAAUGUCUGAGAGUCAAUCCCUUUCAGGCUUGACGGUACCAACAGGGGAAGCACCGGCUAACUCCGUGCCAGCAGCCGCGGUAAUACGGGGGGUGCAAGCGUUGUUCGGAAUUAUUGGGCCUAAAGAGCGUGUAGGCGGCCGGAUAUGUCAGAUGUGAAAGCCCUGGGCUCAACCCAGGAAGUGCAUUUGAAACUGUGCGGCUCGAGUAGGGGAGAGGGAAGUGGAAUUCCUGGUGUAGAGGUGCAAUUCGUAGAUAUCAGGAGGAACACCGGUGGCGAAGGCGACUUCCUGGCCCUAUACUGACGCUGAGACGAGAGAGCGUGGGUAGCAAACAG